rnacentral:lncRNA from 1 species
AUGCGGGGCCGGGCGGGGGGCCGGGGGGGCUCAGCCAGCGGCCCCGGGGAGGCACGGGGGGACCAUGGAGGAGGAGGAAGAGUCCCUUGGAUGUCCCAGGAAGCGAAAAUCCAGCGGCUGGCGCUUUUCCUGCUCGCCGGGGCCGGGGAGGGCGAUGCGGGGCUGGGUGCCCCCCCAGGAGCGAUGCUGACCCCCGCGUUGGGCCCUCGCUGGCUCCUCGGUGGGGGGGGGGGGGGGGGGGGGGCUCCGGGCCGGGUCCGCGUGUCCCCAGGGUCCCCUCCUGCAGGGACAGACGGACGGACAGACAGACAGCGGGAGGGAGCCGGCCCUUGCGGAGACAGAAAGCUUGGCGGGGGGCGGGAGGGAGGGGGGAGAGGGGGGGGGGGGGGCUCUGCACAACACCACCACCACCACCCCCUCCUCCCUCCCCCCUCGCUUCGAGACCUGCAGGCUGGGGUCCGGACGGACAGACGGACGGACAGACGGACGGACGGACAGCCCGGGAACUUACCGGCACGGCGGGUUUCUGCGUGGGGUCCUGGGGCCACCUUCCCUCGGCUGCUGGCGGAAGGGCCAUGGUACCCGCAUCCCUGCUACCAGCAUCCGUGGUACCCGCAUCCGUGGCACCCGCAUCCUCCAGCCCUGGUACUCGCAGCCCUGGUACCCAAAUCCCUGCUCCCCGCAUCCUCCAUCCCCGGUCCCCUCAUCUUCCAUCCCCUCAUCCUCCAUCCCCUCAUCCUCCAUCCCCUCAUCCUUCAUCCCUCCAUCCCCUCAUCCUCCAUCCUCCCUCCCCGCAUCCUCCAUCCCCGUUCCCCCCGGGACCGACCGGCGGCGGCGGUGCCGGUUCAGGGCCGGCCGCCCCCUGGGCUCCGGGGGGGGGGGCGGAGGGGGGCGGGCGGCUCCCGGCGCCCCGGGCAGAGCCAUGGGGCGGGGGGGGAGCGGCGGUGGGCGCCCGGCCCCGGCCCCGGCCGCAGCCUCCCCGCGGCUCCCGGCUCGGCUCGCCCCGGCGGCUGCUGUGUCAGAGAAAGGGGCCGAGCCUCGGCGGGCGGGGGGGGCUUAAAGGAGCCGGGGAAGCCUUUAAAAUGA